GCCUCGUUAGCGCAGUAGGCGGCGCGUCAGUCUCAUAAUCUGAAUGUAGAAAUCUGAAGGUCGUGAGUUCGAUCCUCACACGGGGCA
rfam:Nematostella vectensis strain CH2 x CH6 NEMVEscaffold_907_Cont33864, whole genome shotgun sequence.